rnacentral:lncRNA from 1 species
AUGCACAGCUAUGCACAUCUUUCCCAUGUGUUCUGGGGAUUUGAACUCAGGUCCUCAUGCUUCACAGCAAGUCUUUUAACCACUGAGCCAUCUCCUUGCACCUCACUACUUCUGUUGUUGUUUUUUAACAACCCUUUUAAAAAUGUAAAGAUAUGGGCUAGAGAGAUGGCUCAAUGGUUAAGCAUGUAUACCGAUUGCUCUUGCAAAGUACCCGCAUUCUGUUCCACAGUCGAUAGUUUAGAACAAAUGCAACUGCAGUUCCAGAGAGAUCUGGUCCCUCUGGCCACCACAGGCAACUGUACUCACAUGCACAUACCCCCCCACACAUGCACAUACCCCACACACACAUGCACAUACCCCCCCACACACAUGCACAUACCCCCCCCACACACACAUGCACAUACCUCACACACACACAUGCACACACACCCCCACAUACAUGCACAUACCUCACACACACAUGCACACACCCCCCCAAACACAUGCACAUACCUCAUACACACACAUGCACACACACACCCCCACACAUGCACAUACCCCCCACACACAUGCACAUACCCCCCACACACAUGCACAUACCCCCCCCACACACACAUGCACACACACCCCACAUACAUGCACAUACCUCACACACACACAUGCACACAUACCCCCACACAAAUGCACAUACCCCCACACACACACAUGCACAUACCCCCCACACACAUGCACAUACCUCACACACACACAUGCACACACACCCCACACACACACACAUGCACAUACCCCACACACACAUGCACAUACCCAACACACACACAUGCACAUACCCCCCACACACAUGCACAUACACACACACACACACACACACACACACAUGCACACACACCCCACAUACAUGCACAUACCUCACACACACACAUGCACACACACCCCCACACAAAUGCACAUACCCCCCACACACAUGCACACACCCCACACACAUGCACAUACCCCACACACACAUGCACACACCCCCACACACAUGCACAUACCCAACACACACACACAUGCACAUACCCCACACACACAUGCACAUACCCCCCACACACAUGCACAUACCCAACACACACACACACAUGCACAUACCCCCACACACAUGCACAUACCCCACAUACAUGCACAUACCCCCACACACACAUGCACAUACCCCACACACACAUGCACACACCCCACACACACAUGCACAUACCCACACACACAUGCACAUACCCCCACACACACAUGCACAUAACCCCACACACACACUCACAGGCACAUACCUCCACAACCACACUCAUAUACAUAUAA